rnacentral:rRNA from 1 species
CCGGCGCACGGGUGAGUAACACGUAUCCAACCUGCCGUCUACUCUUGGCCAGCCUUCUGAAAGGAAGAUUAAUCCAGGAUGGCAUCAUGAGUUCACAUGUCCGCAUGAUUAAAGGUAUUUUCCGGUAGACGAUGGGGAUGCGUUCCAUUAGAUAGUAGGCGGGGUAACGGCCCACCUAGUCAACGAUGGAUAGGGGUUCUGAGAGGAAGGCCCCCCACAUUGGAACUGAGACACGGUCCAA